UACGAAGGGGGCUAGCGUUGCUCGGAAUCACUGGGCGUGAAGGGUGCGUAGGCGGUUUUUUAAGUCCGGGGUGAAAUCCUGGAGCUCAACUCCAGAACUGCCUUUGAUACUGAGGAUCUUGAGUUCGGGAGAGGUGAGUGGAACUGCGAGUGUAGAGGUGAAAUUCGUAGAUAUUCGCAAGAACACCAGUGGCGAAGGCGGCUCGCUGGCCCGAUACUGACGCUGAGGCACGAAAGCGUGGGGAGCAAACAGG
rnacentral:rRNA from 1 species